AUUGAACGCUGGCGGCAGGCCUAACACAUGCAAGUCGAACGGUAACAGGAAGAAGCUUGCUUCUUUGCUGACGAGUGGCGGACGGGUGAGUAAUGUCUGGGAAACUGCCUGAUGGAGGGGGAUAACUACUGGAAACGGUAGCUAAUACCGCAUAACGUCGCAAGACCAAAGAGGGGGAGCUUCGGGCCUCUUGCCAUCGGAUGUGCCCAGAUGGGAUUAGCUAGUAGGUGGGGUAACGGCUCACCUAGGCGACGAUCCCUAGCUGGUCUGAGAGGAUGACCAGCCACACUGGAACUGAGACACGGUCCAGACUCCUACGGGAGGCAGCAGUGGGGAAUAUUGCACAAUGGGCGCAAGCCUGAUGCAGCCAUGCCGCGUGUAUGAAGAAGGCCUUCGGGUUGUAAAGUACUUUCAGCGGGGAGGAAGGGAGUAAAGUUAAUACCUUUGCUCAUUGACGUUACCCGCAGAAGAAGCACCGGCUAACUCCGUG
rnacentral:rRNA from 1 species